rfam:Heterocephalus glaber contig134475, whole genome shotgun sequence.
GGAUGUGAGGCUGUCUGGCUGGAACAUCUGUCACACCAUAGAUCGCCAGGUUGAUCUGGCUGAUCUGGCUGGCUGGGUAGGUAUCCCCUUGUUCCCUCGCUGCUCCAUGCUUGGUGGGAUAAGGGAGGACUGUUUCCCUGGUCAAGGGUGUUAUUUGAGUAGCUGCACUCCCCUGCUAGAACCUGCACAAGCUCUCAGAGUCUUUGGGAAGGGCUAGGGGUGUAGCUAAGUGGUAGUGUAUUUGC